GAUGAACGCUGGCGGCAUGCUUUACACAUGCAAGUCGAGCGGCAGCGCGGUCUUCGGACUGGCGGCGAGCGGCGAACGGGUGAGUAAUACAUCGGAACAUGCCCAGUCGUGGGGGAUAACACUUCGAAAGAAGUGCUAAUACCGCAUACGUCCUGAGGGAGAAAGCGGGGGAUCGCAAGACCUCGCGCGAUUGGAGUGGCCGAUGUCAGAUUAGCUAGUUGGUGGGGUAAAGGCCUACCAAGGCAACGAUCUGUAGCUGGUCUGAGAGGAUGAUCAGCCACACUGGGACUGAGACACGGCCCAGACUCCUACGGGAGGCAGCAGUGGGGAAUUUUGGACAAUGGGGGCAACCCUGAUCCAGCCAUUCCGCGUGAGUGAAGAAGGCCUUCGGGUUGUAAAGCUCUUUCGGCAGGAACGAAACGGCGAGCUCUAACAUAGCUCGCUAAUGACGGUACCUGAAGAAGAAGCACCGGCUAACUACGUGCCAGCCGCCGCCGUAAAAC
rnacentral:rRNA from 1 species